rnacentral:rRNA from 1 species
UGCAGUCGAGCGGAUGACGGGAGCUUGCUCCCUGAUUUAGCGGCGGACGGGUGAGUAAUGCCUAGGAAUCUGCCUGGUAGUGGGGGAUAACGUUCCGAAAGGAACGCUAAUACCGCAUACGUCCUACGGGAGAAAGCAGGGGACCUUCGGGCCUUGCGCUAUCAGAUGAGCCUAGGUCGGAUUAGCUAGUUGGUGAGGUAAUGGCUCACCAAGGCGACGAUCCGUAACUGGUCUGAGAGGAUGAUCAGUCACACUGGAACUGAGACACGGUCCAGACUCCUACGGGAGGCAGCAGUGGGGAAUAUUGGACAAUGGGCGAAAGCCUGAUCCAGCCAUGCCGCGUGUGUGAAGAAGGUCUUCGGAUUGUAAAGCACUUUAAGUUGGGAGGAAGGGCAUUAACCUAAUACGUUAGUGUUUUGACGUUACCGACAGAAUAAGCACCGGCUAACUUCGUGCCAGCAGCCGCGGUAAUACGAAGGGUGCAAGCGUUAAUCGGAAUUACUGGGCGUAAAGCGCGCGUAGGUGGUUCAGUAAGUUGGAUGUGAAAUCCCCGGGCUCAACCUGGGAACUGCAUCCAAAACUGCUGAGCUAGAGUACGGUAGAGGGUGGUGGAAUUUCCUGUGUAGCGGUGAAAUGCGUAGAUAUAGGAAGGAACACCAGUGGCGAAGGCGACCACCUGGACUGAUACUGACACUGA